GCUGAGGGGCGGGUCCCCGCGGGGAGCCGCGGCUCCCGCCCUUCGCCGCGGCCCCGGGCCUCCUUUGUUAGAAGGGCUGGGCUGGGGCCGCCCGCCGGGCAGGGGGGUGGCAUGGCGGUGAGGAGGGAGUGAGGGGCGCCGGUCCGACUGUUAGGUGGGCUCUGUGAGGAAAAGAAUCGGUGGAGGAAACCGCCGGGUGAAGUACAAUUGCUGUACGUUUUGCUGAGCCAACGUUACGAGUUUUACACCCAAAACUGAAAGGCUUCUGCACAAGGUAGUUAUGCAUGGAAGGCAUUUUUCACAAGAAAAUGAACCUUUGUGUUCAGUGUUCCCCCUUCCUUUCUGCCCUGGGACGCUCAGCCUCUAUAACGCAGGGAACAAUGAGGAACUGUUUGCUCUUACAGUCCUCUCAUUAUAGCACUUUCACUGGGAAACGUUUUGGGGGUGUGUGUGUGAAAUUAAUUGAGUAGCUCUUGUAGCAUUUUCACUUUUUCCAAAUCUUUCCAUAUUUAUGCAUUCACAGGGUUACCUGAAUAAAUCCUAAAGUAUGGUUAAAUAGAGUAGGACCGAAGAGUAUGAUAGAAAGUCUUGCUUGGCCCAUAGAAAUGGGUACCCCAGGGACAAUUCAGAUGAGCGAUGUGAAAAGAAGUUGGGGAUGAGUCAGCCCCUAUGAUGACUCUACAAGUGACACCAGUAGUCCCUUUGACCAGCAGUCAGCAGCUGCCAGGGGUUUCCUUUCUGGAAGAGGUCCUGGGAGCUUUCAUGCCUGUAAAAGGGCAGCGUGAUAUGACAAGCAAAGAAUAAUUAGUCGGUCCUUCUGUGGAGUACAGAUUGAAUGUGUUGGGGUUUCUCCAUUUACUUUGGUGUAGCCUUAUGAUUCACCAGUUCUUUCCUUAGGACAUCAGCAGAAUUUUGCAGUUGACUUCAGCGGGGUUAACCACUGUCCCAGUAUGCAGAACUUGACACUGAAGAUAUGUAAUUUUAUGAUCAGCUGAUACUGAAAAUUAGUAUGUUUUUACAAUGACUAGACAACUAAAACACUUCUGUUACUGUUUUCUUUGUACUGCGACUGCAGAAAACUCAAACCAGAACAUGUUGGUUUUUUAACUGCAGAGUUUGUCUAAUUCAGUACCUAAUAAAAUACAGGGAUUCUUAAAUGA